rnacentral:rRNA from 1 species
UACGAAGGGGGCUAGCGUUGCUCGGAAUCACUGGGCGUAAAGCGCACGUAGGCGGAUCUUUAAGUCAGGGGUGAAAUCCUGGAGCUCAACUCCAGAACUGCCUUUGAUACUGGGGAUCUCGAGUCCGGAAGAGGUGAGUGGAACUCCGAGUGUAGAGGUGAAAUUCGUAGAUAUUCGGAAGAACACCAGUGGCGAAGGCGGCUCACUGGUCCGGUACUGACGCUGAGAUGCGAAAGCGUGGGGAGCAAACAGG